AGUGAACGCUGGCGGUAGGCCUAACACAUGCAAGUCGAACGGCAGCACAGUAAGAGCUUGCUCUUACGGGUGGCGAGUGGCGGACGGGUGAGGAAUACAUCGGAAUCUACUUUUUCGUGGGGGAUAACGUAGGGAAACUUACGCUAAUACCGCAUACGACCUACGGGUGAAAGCAGGGGAUCUUCGGACCUUGCGCGAUUGAAUGAGCCGAUGUCGGAUUAGCUAGUUGGCGGGGUAAAGGCCCACCAAGGCGAGGAUCCGUAGCUGGUCUGAGAGGAUGAUCGGCCACACUGGAACUGAGACACGGUCCAGACUCCUACGGGAGGCAGCAGUGGGGAAUAUUGGACAAUGGGCGCAAGCCUGAUCCAGCCAUACCGCGUGGGUGAAGAAGGCCUUCGGGUUGUAAAGCCCUUUUGUUGGGAAAGAAAAGCAGCAGGUUAAUACCCCGCUGUUCUGACGGUACCCAAAGAAUAAGCACCGGCUAACUUCGUG
rnacentral:rRNA from 1 species